GAGAAGACCCCAGUACAAACAUCACACACCAUGUUCUCUACAUCUCUACUGCUCCUGCUGGCAGCUGCUUCCUAUGUGCAUGGUAAGGAACUGACUCAGCCUGCUUCCAUGACAGUCCAGCCAGGCCAGAGUCUCUCCAUCAACUGCAAGGUUUCAUAUUCAGUUACGAGCUAUAACACACAUUGGAUUCGACAACCUGCAGGAAAAACUCUCGAGUGGAUUGGAAUCAUUCAUACUAGUGGGAGCACAAUUUACAGUGACAGAUUGAAAAAUAAGUUCAGCAUCUCCAGAGACACGUCUACUAACACAAUAACAAUUCGAGGACAGAACAAGCAGACUGAAGACACAGCUGUGUAUUACUGCGCUCGAGACUUACAGUGAUACACAUCACCAACAUCCCUGUACAAAAACAUCCUGUACAGAAAACUGUUCAGCAGCAAAACCAGAAAUACAACUUUUUAGCAGUU